CGCGAAUAGCUCAUUACAACAGCUAUAAUUUACUUGAAUUUGACAACCCUACUUGGAUACCGGUGGUAAUUCUAGCGCUAAUACAUGCACCAAAGCUCCGACCGCGAGGGAAGAGCGCAUUUAUUAGAACAAAACCACACGGCUUCGGCCGUCCAAUGUUGACUCAGAAUAACUAAGCUGAUCGCAUGGUCUUGCACCGGCGACGUUUCUUUCAAGUAUCUGCCUUAUCAACUUUCGAUGGUAGUGUAUCUGACUACCAUGGUGAUGACGGGUAACGGAGGAUAAGGGUUCGACUCCGGAGAAGGGGCCUGAGAAAUGGCCACUACGUCUAAGGAUGGCAGCAGGCGCGCAAAUUACCCACUCUCAGUACGAGGAGGUAGUGACGAGAAAUAACAAGACCGUUCUCACAAGAGGCCGGUCAUUGGAAUGGGUACAAUUUAAACCCUUUAACGAGUAUCUAUGAGAGGGCAAUUCUAUCCAGCAGCCGCGGUAAUUCCAGCU
rnacentral:rRNA from 1 species